rnacentral:rRNA from 1 species
AGAGUUUGAUCCUGGCUCAGAUUGAACGCUGGCGGCAUGCCUUACACAUGCAAGUCGAACGGCAGCACGGGAGCAAUCCUGGUGGCGAGUGGCGAACGGGUGAGUAAUAUAUUCCGGAACGUGCCCAGUCGUGGGGGAUAACGCAGCGAAAGCUGUGCUAAUACCGCAUACGAUCUAAGGAUGAAAGCGGGGGACCGUAAGGCCUCGCGCGAUCGGAGCGGCCGAUGUCAGAUUAGGUAGUUGGUGGGGUAAAGGCUCACCAAGCCGACGAUCUGUAGCUGGUCUGAGAGGACGACCAGCCACACUGGGACUGAGACACGGCCCAGACUCCUACGGGAGGCAGCAGUGGGGAAUUUUGGACAAUGGGCGCAAGCCUGAUCCAGCAAUGCCGCGUGCAGGAAGAAGGCCUUCGGGUUGUAAACUGCUUUUGUACGGAGCGAAAAGGCUCUCUCUAAUACAGGGGGCUCAUGACGGUACCGUAAGAAUAAGCACCGGCUAACUACGUGCCAGCAGCCGCGGUAAUACGUAGGGUGCGAGCGUUAAUCGGAAUUACUGGGCGUAAAGCGUGCGCAGGCGGUUUUGUAAGACAGGCGUGAAAUCCCCGGGCUCAACCUGGGAAUGGCGCUUGUGACUGCAAAGCUGGAGUGCGGCAGAGGGGGAUGGAAUUCCGCGUGUAGCGGUGAAAUGCGUAGAUAUGCNGAGGAACACCGAUGGCGAANGCAAUCCCCUGGGCCUGCACUGACGCUCAUGCACGAAAGCGUGGGGAGCAAACAGGAUUAGAUACC